CCCCCAAACGAUUAUCGACAUGGUUCGAUUAUUUCUGUCUUUUAUACAAUCAGCAACAGCAACUAGAAGUAGCUAGUAAGCUAGAAGUAGUCUAGAGUCGGUUAAUAGGAAUAGAGUGUGUCUCUCUCUGUUCAAUCUAUAUAUACGUAACAGUGUUUAGCUUUUAUUCUCUCCUUAUUGGCACAAUUCUCUCCAGCAACGGGAAAAAAUAAAAUAAAACAAGACCAGGAGCAGCAAAAGGCUUUUCUUGAUUACGUCACGACGACAAAGAUUUCCGCGUCGGUACCGAAACAAAACAACAACAACAACAACCAAACAAAACCAAAAAAGAAUUUCUUUUGGCUUCCGUUACCGAGCGUUUCAAUUGUGCAUAUCCUUAUCUCGCACAUGUACAUCUCAGAUAUUUUCGGGGCAGCAGACCAAAAGGAUGGAAGUCUGUGGUACCGUUUGUUAUGUUGUUGUUGCUGUUGUCGGUUGUCCUCCAUCUUCCACCAUUCCCGCAGCCAAGUUGUAGUAUCGACAUAAUUCGCCGUCUAUUCGGAUUCCCCGUCACGCUGAAUUGACGAAAUCAAUAACAGAAAAAUCACGAUACACAGAGCGGAAUGAUAAUCAUUUAAUAUCCUCAGACUCUGGCUCUAAUAAAAUGGAGCCAUCAGAUAAAUAAAAAGUUGGAACUUUUGUUUUAUUUUCUUCUGAUUUUUUGGGAUUGACAUCGGAAGGAUAUGUGUGCGAGACCUUUUGAACUAGAUGGCCAGUCUAGCGUGUGCCGCAUCCGUCAAACUUUUUACCGUCUCAUAUAGAUGUCUCACUGUCAGAAUGUUUCCCGGUACUAUACCGCACCGUUCAGCGUGCGGGAUCUGCCGAUUCGCUUAAUGAGGAAAACAAAAAAAUAAAAAAGAUGCAACUAUAUCAUCACACGUCAUUUUGUUGGCUCUGGUACUAGUAUCUGGCGGGAAUAAGCGAAAUAAAAUUUUUUCGUAUAUAAGCUACUGCUGAUAUGGCCAGCAGGGCAAACGCCAACGGGAGGGUCGUAAUAGAUAUUCCCGUUUGAAAAAUGUUGUUCUUUUUCGUCUCGGUGGUUGUGUUGUUUUUUUCUUCACGAUGAUCAAGUCGAGGUCGAUUAGUGAAAACGCCAAAGGAAGAAACUUUACACACAUAUAAUUGGCAUUCAUUUGAUGUGGGCUAGUAGGUUGCAUGAGCUGUGAUUAAGUUCAAGACUCUUUUUUUUCUUUUCCUUCGGGAAAAUGAGGAGGUGGCUGGAAAACGAGGGGAACGUGCGGGUCAAAUGUCAGGAUUUUUGUGUAUACACACUCACACGAGUGUAUGUGAAGUGGGUGGGUUUCUGUGUGUGUGUGUGUACAUUAUAAGAGUUUUGGUAUACAGCAACGAGAGAGAGAAAUAACCUCUGGUCAGAAAUCCGAAGGCGCAGAUGAUGAGGAGGUCUGCUCAAAAAUGUUGUUUUCAUCUUCUCCCUCCCGCGGUUCAAAUGAUUUCUGCAGACAUGGCCGAGAAAAGGGCGUGUGUGUAACAUUACAACUAUCCACUGCAUUAUUUUAUAUUAUAUGUGCUGCUGCUGCUACUGCUGCUGCCCUGUGGACACUGGGAUUAGACAUUAUUGUCGGGACUGGAUUUUAUUUUCUUCUUUUGUCCCGAAAUCGGCAAGCGCCAGGCAUCCAAUUGUAUACAAGAGGAGCUCGGCGUUGUGUGAAUGACCGACGAGAGAGCGUCCAAUUGGAAAAUAAAAGAAUAGAAACGUCGUCGUCGCGUGACGUCACGGCGCGCGGAAGUCGUGCGCGCUCUACACGCAAUCCAAUUUGUCGACGCCGGUCGACGCUGCUGUACUGUGUGUUGACUGAAAGGGACGACUUUUAGUUCGGCAAAUGAGAACGCCGGGAUAGUCCAAAUAUCUAAUGCGCUUCUAAAAAUAGAAUUUAAAACAAAAAGAAAACAAAAAGAGAUUCACGCAUGUGUUUUCUCCUUUUUUAUUUUUUCGCUCCUAUUGUAUUUGGAAACCAGUAAAGUGUUAUUGAAGGAAAAAUGAACUACAAAAGGAAAAAAAGAAGAAGAACAACAUUACACACAAUAAGUAUGUCGUCGUCGCUAAAGGCCUAAUUCCCCCCUUCGGUUGUAGAUCAUCUCAUUAUACACUUCCUUUUUUUGUGUCUACUUCUCCAGGUGGAUCAUUAUAGAUAUUACGGAUGCUAUAAUAGACUUUUUUUAUAUUUUAAAUUUUUACUACUACUACUACUAACUCUGCCGGGUAUAUAGUAUAGUAGCGAAUUGGUUGUGUUGCAUAUAACGAAAGAAAAGAAAAAAGUGUGCCAUCAUCCUAACUAACCUACACCAGGAGGAGAGCAUUGGCUUUUUUGGGUUGUAUGGAGGCUAAUGGUCGGCGGCCCGAUGAGUCCUGCGCGCUUCUUUUUCUUUUCUAGGUCGUUGACGUCCUAUACUGUCAGCCUCUUCCAAGUAGAACAACUCGAGAAAAAUAGAGACAAAUAAAAAUAAACAUUUUUAUAUAACCA